rnacentral:rRNA from 1 species
UGGGGAAUUUUGGACAAUGGGGGCAACCCUGAUCCAGCGACGCCGCGUGUGUGAAGAAGGCCUGCGGGUUGUAAAGCACUUUCGUUGGGAACGAAAUAUGCCGACCUAAUACGUCGGUAGGCUGACGUUACCCAAAUAAGAAGCACCGGCUAACUCUGUGCCAGCAGCCGCGGUAAUACAGAGGGUGCGAGCGUUAAUCGGAAUUACUGGGCGUAAAGCGCACGUAGGUGGCUAUGUAAGUCAGGUGUGAAAUCCCCGGGCUCAACCUGGGAACUGCACUUGGGACUGCAUGGCUAGAGUAUGGGAGAGGAAGGCGGAAUUCCCGGUGUAGCGGUGAAAUGCGUAGAUAUCGGGAGGAACAUCAGUGGCGAAGGCGGCCUUCUGGCCCAAUACUGACACUCAGGUGCGAAAGCGUGGGGAGCAAACAGG